rnacentral:rRNA from 1 species
UUGAGAGCGGCGCACGGGUGCGGAACACGUGUGCAACCUGCCUUUAUCUGGGGGAUAGCCUUUCGAAAGGAAGAUUAAUACCCCAUAAUAUAUUGAGUGGCAUCACUUGAUAUUGAAAACUCCGGUGGAUAGAGAUGGGCACGCGCAAGAUUAGAUAGUUGGUGAGGUAACGGCUCACCAAGUCAAUGAUCUUUAGGGGGCCUGAGAGGGUGAUCCCCCACACUGGUACUGAGACACGGACCAGACUCCUACGGGAGGCAGCAGUGAGGAAUAUUGGACAAUGGGUGAGAGCCUGAUCCAGCCAUCCCGCGUGAAGGACGACUGCCCUAUGGGUUGUAAACUUCUUUUAUACUGGGAUAAACCUACCCUUCGUGAGGGUAGCUGAAGGUACAGUAUGAAUAAGCACCGGCUAACUCCGUGCCAGCAGCCGCGGUAAUACGGAGGGUGCAAGCGUUAUCCGGAUUUAUUGGGUUUAAAGGGUCCGUAGGCGGACUCGUAAGUCAGUGGUGAAAUCUCAUAGCUUAACUAUGAAACUGCCAUUGAUACUGCGGGUCUUGAGUAAAGUAGAAGUGGCUGGAAUAAGUAGUGUAGCGGUGAAAUGCAUAGAUAUUACUUAGAACACCAAUUGCGAAGGCAGGUCACUAUGUUUUAACUGACGCUGAUGGACGAAAGCGUGGGGAGCGAACAGGAUUAGAUACCCUGGUAGUCCACGCCGUAAACGAUGCUAACUCGUUUUUGGGUUUUCGGAUUCAGAGACUAAGCGAAAGUGAUAAGUUAGCCACCUGGGGAGUACGUUCGCAAGAAUGAAACUCAAAGGAAUUGACGGGGGCCCGCACAAGCGGUGGAUUAUGUGGUUUAAUUCGAUGAUACGCGAGGAACCUUACCAAGGCUUAAAUGGGAAUUGACAGGUUUAGAAAUAGAUCCUUCUUCGGACAAUUUUCAAGGUGCUGCAUGGUUGUCGUCAGCUCGUGCCGUGAGGUGUUAGGUUAAGUCCUGCAACGAGCGCAACCCCUGUCACUAGUUGCCAUCAUUCAGUUGGGGACUCUAGUGAGACUGCCUACGCAAGUAGAGAGGAAGGUGGGGAUGACGUCAAAUCAUCACGGCCCUUACGCCUUGGGCCACACACGUAAUACAAUGGCCGGUACAGAGGGCAGCUACUAUGCGAAUAGAUGCGAAUCUCGAAAGCCGGUCUCAGUUCGGAUUGGAGUCUG